rnacentral:rRNA from 1 species
CCUGGUUGAUUCUGCCAGUAGUCAUAUGCUUGUCUCAAAGAUUAAGCCAUGCAUGUGCAAGUAUGAACUAAUUCAAACUGUGAAACUGCGAAUGGCUCAUUAAAUCAGGGUUUGAUGGUACGUGCUACUCGGAUAACCAUAGUAAUUCUAGAGCUAAUAUGUCCAACAAACCCUGACUUCUGGUAGGGGUGCAUUUAUUAGAUAAAAUACUGACGUGGGCUCUACUCGCUGAUCCGAUGAUUCGUGAUAACUCGACGGAUCGCACGGCCCUCGUGCCGGCAACGCAUCAUUCAAAUUUAUGCCUAUCAACUUUCGAUGGUAGGAUAGGGGCCUACCAUGGUAGUGGUGGGUGACAGAGAAAUAGGGUUCAAUUUUGGAGAGGGAGCCUGAGAAACGGCUACCACAUCCAAGGAAGGUAGCAGGCAUGCAAAUUACGCAAUCCUGACAUGGGUGGUAGUGACAAUAAAUAACAAUAUCGGGCACGUUAAUGUUUGGUAAUUGGAAUGAAUACAAUCUAAAUCCCUUAACGAGGAUCCACUAGAGGGCAAGUCUGCUGCUAGCAGCUGCGGUAAUUCCAACUCCAAUAGCGUAUAUUUAAGUUGCUGCAGUUAAAAAGCUCGUAGCUGGACCUUGGGCCGGGUCGGCCGGUCCGCCUUUCGGCGAGCACCAACCUACUUGACCCUUCUAUCGGCGAUGCGCUCCUGGCCUUAAUUGGCCGGGUCGUGUGUCCGACGCUGUUACUUUGAAGAAAUUAGAGUGCUCAAAGCAAGCCAUUGCUAUGGAUACAUUAGCAUGGGAUAACAUCAUAGGAUUUUGGUCCUAUUGUGUUGGCCUUCAGGAUCAGAGCAAUGAUUAAUAGAGACAGUCAAGGGCAUUCGUAUUUCAUAGUUAGAGGUGAAAGUCAUGGAUUUAUGAAAGACGAACAACUGUGAAAGCAUUUGCCAAGGAUGUUUUCAUUAAUCAAGAACGAAAGUUGGGGGCUCGAAGACAUUCAGAUAUCAUCCUAGUCUCAACCAUAAAUGAUGCCGACCAAGGAUCAGCAUAAGCUUAUACACUACAAGAAAUGAUUAAUCCACCGUCGGCCAAAAUAAAACCGUCGGCCCCGACGGUUUUAAAAAUUUAUAGGCGUUGGCCUAGGGUAACCGACGGUUAUAUGUUUAAAAACGUCGGGGUUCAGGACGUGGCCGACGGCCAUAAUAAAAAACGUCGGGGUCCCUGUACGACCGACGGCU